GAUGAACGCUGGCGGCGUGCCUAAUACAUGCAAGUCGAGCGGACGCAUGGCAAUAUUUCUUCUCUGAUCUUAGCGGCGUACGGGUGAUUAACACGUUCCUAACCUCUCUAUUAGACUCGGAUAACUUCGGUAAAUCGGAGCUAAUACGGCAUAAUAUUAUGUACCGCAUGGUUCAACACUGAAAGAACUUCUUGCUGUUACGUAUAGAUGGCUCCUCGCGGCAUUAGCUAGUUGGUAAGGUAACGGCUUACCAAGGCAACGAUGGAUAGCCGACCUGAGCGGGGGAACGGCCAUACUGGAACUGAGACACGGGCCAGACUCCAACGGGAGGCAGGAGUAGGGAAUCUUGAGCAAUGGGCGAAGGCCUGACGGAGCAACGAGGCGUGAGUGAUGAAGGUCUUAGGCUCGUAAAACUCUGUUAUUCGGGAGGAAGAGAUGAAAAAGUAACUGCGCACAUCUUGAAGGGACCUAAUCAGAAAGCCACGGCUAACUACGUG
rnacentral:rRNA from 1 species